rnacentral:rRNA from 1 species
GACGAACGCUGGCGGCGUGCCUAACACAUGCAAGUCGAACGGGACCAGGGGCAACUCUGGUUCAGUGGCGGACGGGUGCGUAACACGUGAGGAACAUGACUUUCGGCGGGGGAGUAGCCGGCCCAACGGCCGGGUAAGUACCGCGUACGACCUGUUGGGGACGAUCCCCGACUUGGUGAAAGCAGCAAUGCGCCGAAAGAGUGCCUCGCGGCCUAUCAGCUAGUUGGUGGGGUAAGUGGCUCACCAAGGCGACGACGGGUAGCUGGUCUGAGAGGAUGAUCAGCCACACUGGGACUGAGACACGGCCCAGACUCCUACGGGAGGCAGCAGUGGGGAAUAUUGGACAAUGGGCGCAAGCCUGAUCCAGCAAUGCCGCGU